CUUUCAGUAGCACCUUAGAGACCAACUAAAUUUGUUAUGGGUAUGGAGCUUUCAUGUGCAUGCACACUUCUUCAGAUACAGUGUGCAUGCACACGAAAGCUCAUACCCAUAACAAACUUAGUUAGUCUCUAAGGUGCUACUGGAAG